rnacentral:rRNA from 1 species
UACGUAGGGUGCAAGCGUUGUCCGGAAUUAUUGGGCGUAAAGAGCUCGUAGGCGGUCUGUCGCGUCUGCUGUGAAAACUCGGGGCUUAACCCCGGGCCUGCAGUGGGUACGGGCAGACUAGAGUGCGGUAGGGGAGACUGGAAUUCCUGGUGUAGCGGUGAAAUGCGCAGAUAUCAGGAGGAACACCGGUGGCGAAGGCAGGUCUCUGGGCCGUAACUGACGCUGAGGAGCGAAAGCAUGGGUAGCGAACAGG